rnacentral:ribozyme from 12 species
AAAAUUGUUAGAUAGCCCACUGGAAUCUUUAGAUGCUCCUUUGUUCUUCUUUGAUUUCUUCUCUGGUUUUUUGGUUGUAUCCUCCUUUGAUUCCUUCUUCUUUGUCAACUUUCCAGAAACCCGGAGAAACCAAUUCUGAGGCCCGAC